rnacentral:lncRNA from 1 species
GGUGUGCCUUGCAAUCUUCCGCCACCCUUCGGAUUUUCCGCUGGGAGGGAGAGAUGAAGCCAAAUGCAGAAACUCCAUGAAAAAGGAAAAUGUUUCAAUCCAUGUAACUUUCACCCCAAACUAAGAAAUGAAUGAAAGUAGGGGAUCAGAGACACAAGAUUGGGGAAAGCCUUCCCUAGUCUACGCGCUGGUCCUAUAACCAAAGAGCCAUUGGUCAGAUUCAGGUAAAUCUGUUUGAUUAAAAAUAGCUAGCUAUGGUUUUUAAUCACAACUUAG